rnacentral:rRNA from 1 species
UAGGGAAUCUUCCACAAUGGACGCAAGUCUGAUGGAGCAACGCCGCGUGAGUGAAGAAGGUUUUCGGAUCGUAAAGCUCUGUUGUUGGUGAAGAAGGAUAGAGGUAGUAACUGGCCUUUAUUUGACGGUAAUCAACCAGAAGGUCACGGCUAACUACGUGCCAGCAGCCGCGGUAAUACGUAGGUGGCAAGCGUUGUCCGGAUUUAUUGGGCGUAAAGCGAGCGCAGGCGGAAGAAUAAGUCUGAUGUGAAAGCCCUCGGCUUAACCGAGGAACUGCAUCGGAAACUGUUUUUCUUGAGUGCAGAAGAGGAGAGUGGAAUUCCAUGUGUAGCGGUGGAAUGCGUAGAUAUAUGGAAGAACACCAGUGGCGAAGGCGACUCUCUGGUCUGCAACUGACGCUGAGGCUCGAAAGCAUGGGUAGCGAACAGG